AACGUAGGAGGCGAGCGUUAUCCGGAUUUACUGGGCGUAAAGCGCGCGCAGGUGGCUUCGUGAGUCGGACAUGAAAGCUCCCGGCUUAACUGGGAGAGGCUGUUCGAUACUGCGGGGCUUGAGGUUGGGAGAGGGACGCGGAAUUCCCGGUGUAGUGGUGGAAUGCGUAGAUAUCGGGAGGAACACCAGUGGCGCAAGCGGCGUCCUGGCCCACACCUGACGCUGAGGUGCGAAAGCGUGGGUAGCAAACAGGAUUAGAUACCCGUGUAGUCCCU
rnacentral:rRNA from 1 species